rnacentral:rRNA from 1 species
GACGUAGGGCGCAAGCGUUGUCCGGAUUUAUUGGGCGUAAAGAGCUCGUAGGCGGCCUGUCGCGUCGACCGUGAAAACCCGCAGCUCAACUGCGGGCUUGCGGUCGAUACGGGCAGGCUGGAGUUCGGUAGGGGAGACUGGAAUUCCUGGUGUAGCGGUGAAAUGCGCAGAUAUCGGGAGGAACACCAGAGGCGAAGGCGGCGAAACUGGACAGUAACUGACACUCAA